GCCGGGCGUGGUGGUGCAUGCCUGUAGUCCCAGCUACUGGGAGGCUGAGGCAGGAGAAUUGCUUCAACCCAGGAGGCAGAGGUUGUAGUGAGCCGAGACUGUGCCACUGCACUCCAGCCUGGGCAACAGAGCAAGACUCUGUCUCAA
ensembl:misc_RNA Metazoa_SRP Metazoan signal recognition particle RNA